rnacentral:rRNA from 1 species
UAGGGAAUAUUGGACAAUGGGGGCAACCCUGAUCCAGCCAUGCCGCGUGAGUGAAGAAGGCCCUCGGGUUGUAAAGCUCUUUUGUCCGGAAAGAAAAGCUUCGGGUUAAUACCCCGGGGUUCUGACGGUACCGGAAGAAUAAGCACCGGCUAACUUCGUGCCAGCAGCCGCGGUAAUACGAAGGGUGCAAGCGUUACUCGGAAUUACUGGGCGUAAAGCGUGCGUAGGUGGUUGUUUAAGUCUGAUGUGAAAGCCCUGGGCUCAACCUGGGAAUGGCAUUGGAAACUGGGCAGCUAGAGUGCGGUAGAGGGUAGUGGAAUUCCCGGUGUAGCAGUGAAAUGCGUAGAGAUCGGGAGGAACAUCUGUGGCGAAGGCGACUGCCUGGACCAGCACUGACACUGAGGCACGAAAGCGUGGGGAG